rnacentral:rRNA from 1 species
GACGAACGCUGGCGGCGUGCUUAACACAUGCAAGUCGAACGGAAAGGCCCUGCUUUUGUGGGGUGCUCGAGUGGCGAACGGGUGAGUAACACGUGAGUAACCUGCCCUUGACUUUGGGAUAACUUCAGGAAACUGGGGCUAAUACCGGAUAGGAGCUCCUGCUGCAUGGUGGGGGUUGGAAAGUUUCGGCGGUUGAGGAUGGACUCGCGGCUUAUCAGCUUGUUGGUGGGGUAGUGGCUUACCAAGGCUUUGACGGGUAGCCGGCUUGAGAGGGUGACCGGCCACAUUGGGACUGAGAUACGGCCCAGACUCCUACGGGAGGCAGCAGUGGGGAAUAUUGCACAAUGGGCGGAAGCCUGAUGCAGCAACGCCGCGUGCGGGAUGACGGCCUUCGGGUUGUAAACCGCUUUCGCCUGUGACGAAGCGUGAGUGACGGUAAUGGGUAAAGAAGCACCGGCUAACUACGUG